ensembl:lncRNA
UGCAACUUCAGUGUAUCCCUCUAAACAGUAACUUCCAAGCAGCCCGAGCUUUAUGUUUUAGCUUAGUGUUGGAUUGAGGACCAUGGAGUUGGGUGGUGCUCACAGAGGGAUUUUGUGGCUCUGUGAGAGUUGAGAUGCUUUCUCCUUAAUAGAAAGCAAUUGCUGCUGAGAUGGGAGCCUUACCAGCAGCCGAGGCAGUUAGCAGAGAGCACAGUUGCAAAGCAGCAGAGGAUUGCCACCGGGGAGAUGAAUGGCAAUAAUUCUGUGGUUUUGACAGGCUCAGAUUUCUUGAUCAGCUGGCAUUGUAAGAUGAGCACAAUCUGUAGCAUUUUCAGUGUUGCUUCGGUAGUAAUCGUGCACUCUGACCUUCAGGAAGCCCUCUAGGAGUUGCAGAUCGGUAACCUAUUUCACUGCUUUUUGAACGUGAAUCCGCAACUGAAAUUGCUUUAGAUGUCCGUCUUCUAAGAUGCAAAGUUAUGUCAUUGUCUCAGUCGAUUUUAAAUCCUGUUGCACUAGUUUGCUGGGUGGGUUGUUUGAUUUAGGUUGGACCACAUGCCUUUUAUGUUAAGUGUGAAGUGAGAGACUGAGCAUUUACAAGUCUUUGUUUUCUUUAUGGAAGCAUGCUUUAAAAGUCAAUUGAACAUAACACAACAUAACACUUUCCAUUGUCCUAAUAGCUGGUGAAUUGUGCCCUCACAGGGUAUUCUUCAGUGCUGUCUGUGAGCUCCUGGUAUGGAAGUGAGUCCUGUCUUGCAAUUCCGUGUUUGAUUAAUGGGAUCAGUCUCAGUCAGCAUUAUGGAAAAGUACAGUAUUCAAGGAGGAGCUGCUACAGAGAAUGAUGCAAAGUGUUUCUGAAGACCAAGUUCAGUUCAGAAGUUGUCAAAAUUUAAACAAGCUGCUGGCAUACAGGAUCCAGUUGUUCAUAAAGUCAGAUUGUUCAUGAUUCUUCAUGGUUUUCCUCCACUGCUCAAAAGCCUCCUGGUGGUGUUUAUUCCAGUGUUGUUGUUUACCUCGACAUACAGGUAUUUCUAGCUGGCCAUUACUGCUGCUGGGAGACAGGUGUGCUGAUGUUGAACUUGUACUGUUAUCAUGGUGAAAUCCUUUCAUGCUCAUCUGUAACUGAUGGUGUUACAGCGGAUUAAAAACCUCAAGUAGUCAGAAUCAGCAGAGCACAAUCUUAUUCCAGUCUGCUGUACAGCACAGAUCAGAAGUUGAGCAUCAUUUAGAGAGAAGCUACCUGUUGCCUGUUUGAUAGACACUGGCCAGCACGACUCGUCCAGCUCUGCUGCUUGCUCACCUCUCUCCAGUGACACCCUGCAGCCCGGGCUGGCCCCAUGCUGCUGGGGCUGUGGGGUCCCCGACUUGCGACUCCCCAGUGGCGGGGUGAUCACAGCACCGUUGGCAUCCAUCAUCCUUUGACUUUUGAGUUCGAAUGGCAGGCUUGUUGUAUGCUGAAUGGAAAUGGGAUUAACACAGAACUUUUUGAAAUAGCGUCACAUAGCAUUUGUGAAAUGACUGCUGUGGUUGCAGAACUUUCUGCACAGCAGUUGUCUGUGCCAGCAGCUCUCAUGUUUGCCUGAGGUGUUCUUGGUGGCAAUGCACACAGCUCUCUGUGAGGAAUUAAAUGUUUUUAAACACCUGCU